GUGAGGAAUUUUCCGCAAUGGGCGAAAGCCUGACGGAGCAAUGCCGCGUGAAGGAUGAAGGCCUAUGGGUUGUAAACUCCUUUUCUCAGAAAAGAAUUAUGACGGUAUCUGAGGAAUAAGCAUCGGCUAACUCUGUGCCAGCAGCCGCGGUAAGACAGAGGAUGCAAGCGUUAUCCGGAAUGAUUGGGCGUAAAGCGUCUGGAGGUUUUUUAAAAAGUAUUCUGUCAAUGAUUAGGGCUUAACCCUAGAUAGGCAGGAUAAACUUUUAAGCUAGCGUUUGGUAGAGGCAGAGGGAAUUACCGGUGGAGCGGUGAAAUGCGUAGAUAGCGGGAGGAACACCAAAGGCGAAGGCACUCUGCUGGGCCAAUACUAACACUGAGAGACGAAAGCGAGGGGAGCAAAUGGGAUUAGAUACCCCAGUAGUCC
rnacentral:rRNA from 1 species